GGAUGCGAUCAUACCAACACUAACGCAUGGGAUCCCAUCAGAACUCCGAAGCUAAGCGUGCUUGGGCGAGAGUAGUGUUAGGAUGGGUGACCCCCUAGGAAGUCCUCGUAUUGCGUCCC
rnacentral:rRNA from 1 species